rnacentral:rRNA from 1 species
AUACGGAGGGGGCAAGCGUUAUUCGGAAUUAUUGGGCGUAAAGGGCGCGUAGGCGGCCCGACAAGUCAACGGUGAAAUCCCUCGGCCUAACCGAGGAACUGCCUUUGAAACUGUCAGGCUUGAGGCCGGGAGAGGGUAGUGGAAUUCCCAGUGUAGCGGUGAAAUGCGUAGAUAUUGGGAGGAACACCAGUGGCGAAGGCGACUACCUGGACCGGUUCUGACGCUGAGGCGCGAAAGCGUGGGGAGCAAACAGGAUUAGAAACCCGGGUAGUCC